CCAAUAGCGUAUAUUAAAGUUGCUGCAGUUAAAAAGCUCGUAGUUGGAUUUCGGAACCAAUAUGUUGGUUGUGCCUCAGUACGUACUGGCAUUGUUGGUUUCUCCCUUCUGACAAACUAUGAUGUCAUUAAUUUGGUGUCAUGGGGAAUCAGGACUGUUACUUUGAAAAAAUUAGAGUGUUUAAAGCAGGCUCACGCUUGAAUACAUUAGCAUGGAAUAAUGAAAUAGGACGUUUGAUUCUAUUUUGUUGGUUUCUAGGAUUGACGUAAUGAUUAAUAGGGAUAGUUGGGGGCAUUAGUAUUCAAUUGUCAGAGGUGAAAUUCUUGGAUUUAUUGAAGACUAACUACUGCGAAAGCAUUUGCCAAGGAUGUUUUCAUUAAUCAAGAACGAAAGUUAGGGGAUCGAAGACGAUCAGAUACCGUCGUAGUCUUAACCAUAAACUAUGCCGACUAGGGAUCGGAUGAUGUUAAUUUUUUAAUGACUCAUUCGGCGCCUUACG
rnacentral:rRNA from 1 species